GCCGCGAUGGUGGAAUAGGUAGACACCCAAGACUUAAAAUCUUGUGUCCAGCAAUGGACGUGCCGGUUCGACCCCGGCUCGCGGUA
rnacentral:tRNA from 1 species